ensembl:lncRNA LINC02336 long intergenic non-protein coding RNA 2336
GCGAGACAAAGAACCCACCGGAAGGAACCAAUUCUGGGCACAAUGAGGUUCCUGACCAAGGGGAGUAAAGGAGAUGGAAUGAAGCUUGUGUGCUGUACUUCAAGUCAUGCAUCCAGUACCAUUUUCCUGCACAUAAAGCGCUAUCUAUUCAUUAAGAUUUCUAGUUGCAGAGCUGGAUCCAUCCAUAAAAAGAACCAUUUUUCUAAUUUAUAGAAAGAUGUCUCAUGGCCUAGAAACAGGCCUUGAGCAAGAGCAAGCCCUGCCUUUCUCAUAUAGAAUAUGUACUGUUUUCUUAUAUAUAGCCUCUUUCUUUAAAUUUGAUAAGAUAAU